AUCUGACAAUGGCUAUGACAAUUCAAAAAUUGAAACAUUUUGUAAUCAAAUUUAAUUUCACUGUAUCACUGGAGAGUGAUGUGCAUCAGGAAUGACUUUAAUCAGAGGAUCAACUUAGUGAAUGAUUCCAUUCUUUUUGUAUCUUAGUUCUUGGAAUAAAUUGUUUAAAAUGUAAAUACGUCAUACUAGGACACUAUUUCUGGUUGGAGAAGAAGUAGAGGAAGUGUAAGGUUGCACCACACGAUGUUUCCGCUAACCUUGCACCGGGGAUCUUUGGUUCAGUUUGUGUUCCCUAGUCCACAAACAUGACGUUUGACUAAAGUGCCGUCUCCGCUUUACAUAAGGACCCAUGUCGUGGGGUUAAAUUACAAGGCUUUAUUACCGCCAGUGCACCCUGUUUCCCUUGAUAAUUCAGCUUUGAUGUGGGCAUCUCUUUAGAGAAAAACAUAAUCAUAUUUUUGGUUGUUGACCAGCUUGAGGAAAAUUGCAGACGACAAGCGAUAUCUGUCUGUAGAAUGAUGACGUAGCAUAUACAAAAAUAGCGACGUGAAUGAACGGCCUUACACAUGUUAGGCAACGUCACGAUUGUAAAAUGAUCGUUAACAUUUAUAAAAAUAUUAUAUGAUGUAUGUUUUUGGAACACUGAAUGAUAUGCUGUCAUUGAAACCCUACAUUUUAUAUGAAUUAUGUUGAAAACGAGCAAAUCAAGUAUGCAAGUUAUUUAUAAUUGCUCUGUAGAGCUAGGAAAUUCUUGUUUUCGAAACACUUUUUAAAUGCAUGCUUUUAAAGUUUAGAGUUUCCUAAAGUUCUGUGUUUCUAUUUGAAGCUAGACAAAGACGAAGCCCCCUGGUAGGCUUGAAUGGAGUGUAGAAAACUUUUUACAGUAAUGUUAAAAUACAGCUUAAUGUGAUUGUGGUUGAUAAGAUAAGAGGUGGUAAUAUGAUUGAAUAUACAUCAAUGUAUGUACUUAUGAGUUCCG